ACCAGCUCAGUGGAUAACUCGCCUCCCAGAAACCCAAACUCUGGCCCCGUGAUGCUCGCCCACACGCGCCUCCCGCCUCCGCCUCCGCAUCCCGCCCAAAUCCUGCCCGCCCGCCUCGCCGGAGGCGGCGGUAUGGAGUUCCGCCGCAAGCUCCACUUCCUCUCGGCCGAGCUCCAUCUCGACCCGUUCCCGCUCCUCGCCCUUCAUCCUGAGCUCCGCUCCGCGCCGCUCGCGCUUCUCCAUGCCUCCCUCCGCCUCCUCCUCUCACACGGACUCUCCGCCGGCGACGCCUCCCGCGUCUUCUCGGCAUUCCCGUCGCUCCUCACCUCUCCUCCUGAGGAGUCCCUCCGCUUCCUCUCCGCCGCCGCGCCGCUACCCCCUCCUCUCCUCCGCGCCGCGGUGGUCCGUUCCCCUCGCCUCCUCGCCGCGUCCAUCCCGGACACCCUCCGCCCCGCGCUUUACUUCCUUCGCCACCGCGUUUCCCUGCGACGGAGACCCCUUCCGCUCGCUGCUGCCCUGCUCCUCGCUUUCUCCGUCGACCGCACACUCCUCCCCAAGCUCCUCUUCCUUGGCAAAGCCACGGGGCUCCCAGACCGCGCCAUCUGCACCAUUAUUCGCCGCGCCCCCGCCAUUCUCUCCUAUGGUAUCGAGACCAACCUCACGCCCAAGCUCAAGUUCCUCGCCGACGGCAUGAGCAUGGACCCAGCCGCGGAGCUCACCGAGUUCCCACACUACUUCGCGUUCAGCUUGGAGGGGAGGAUCAUGCCGAGGCACGAAGCAUUGAGGCUGAGGGGCGUUGAUAUGUCACUAAAGGAAAUGCUCAAGAGCAGCGAUGAUGAGUUCAAGGAGCGGAUCUUAGAUGCAACGCUGUCGGGCAAUAUGCAGAGGAUGUGAACCUGCACUCAGAAGGAGGGAGAUGGGACUACUCUUUUGAAAAUUCCUGGGAGGCGAGACAAGUGUGCUGCAUGCGCCAUGCUUGUUGAGGACAAGGCGAGAUAUUGGGAUAUAGCAGGAGUUCAAGAGGCAGGGCUGGUAUAUUGAUCCGAUAGCAGCCCAAGCUAAUACUUAGGCCCAGACGGGUAAGAAUGAAGCGGGAGGGUACGGGAUGGCUAUGCAUUUCGUUUUUUCCUGAGUUCUACACGUGAAAAGACUGCUAUCAUGCAUAUAUAUGUAUGUAUGGACAUAUAUACUGAUUCCCUUUUGCCAAAAUUGUUGGGUAUGCAUUGCAUACCCUUGAAUAAGUCUAGCUCCGCCUUUGAACAUAUGAGUGGUAUCAUAAAAGAAUUUAUUUAUUAGACUAUAGACUCAUUAUGUUUUCAAAUGUGUGAUGUUACAAUAACUAGCUAAGUUACCACAAACCUCUUUUUCUUUAUUAAUUAGUUGCCACAUAAGCAUUUUUGUAUUGAAAUGUGUGAUGUUACUAGUUAAGUUACUGCCAUUGUGACUAGUCUGAGGGAAAUGAAUCUCUCCAAGCUUAGGCUUUCGCCUAGC